rnacentral:rRNA from 1 species
ACCCGCCUACGGGACGCAGCAGUGGGGAAUAUUGCACAAUGGGGGAAACCCUGAUGCAGCGACGCCGCGUGAAGGAAGAAGUAUUUCGGUAUGUAAACUUCUAUCAGCAGGGAAGAAAAUGACGGUACCUGACUAAGAAGCCCCGGCUAACUACGUGCCAGCAGCCGCGGUAAUACGUAGGGGGCAAGCGUUAUCCGGAUUUACUGGGUGUAAAGGGAGCGUAGGCGGCGAUGCAAGUCAGAAGUGAAAGCCCGGGGCUCAACUCCGGGACUGCUUUUGAAACUGGAUGGCUAGGUUGCAGGAGG